rnacentral:rRNA from 1 species
UGGGGAAUAUUGCACAAUGGCGGGAACUCUGAUGCAGCAACGCCGCGUGCGGGAUGACGGCCUUCGGGUUGUAAACCGCUUUCAGCCAUGACGAAGCCUUUGUGACGGUAGUGGUAGAAGAAGCACCGGCUAACUACGUGCCAGCAGCCGCGGUGAUACGUAGGGUGCGAGUGUUGUCCGGAAUUAUUGGGCGUAAAGAGCUUGUAGGCGGUUUGGCGCGUCGAAAGUGUAAACUCAGUGCUUAACGCUGAGCCUGCUUUCGAUACGGGCUGACUAGAGGAGGGUAGGGGAGAAUGGAAUUCCCGGUGAAGCGGUGGAAUUCGCAGAUAUCGGGAGGAACACCAGUGGCGAAGGCGGUUCUCUGGACCUUUCCUGACGCUGAGAAGCGAAAGCGUGGGUAGCAAACAGG